rnacentral:misc_RNA from 1 species
UCCGUGUUAACCACGGCAGUCUCUCUAGAGUGCUCAACUAAAUGGUAGCAACUAAAGACAAGGGUUGCGCUCGUUAAGGGACUUAACCCAACAUGUCACCACACGAGCUGACGACAGCCAUGCAGCACCUGUCUCUCGGUCGUAUUGCUACGAAAACCGUAUUUCUACGGCUGUCCAAGGAUGUCAAACCCAGGUAAGGUUCUGCGCGUUGCUUCGAAUUAAACCACAUGAUCCACCGCUUGUGCGGGCCCCCGUCAAUUCCUUUGAGUUUUAGUCUUGCGACCGUACUUCCCAGGCGGAGAACUUAUUGCGUUAGCGCCGACUCAGCAGGGGUCAAGACCCACUAAAUCUAGUUCUCAUCGUUUACAGCGUGGACUAC